UACGUAGGGGGCAAGCGUUGUCCGGAUUUAUUGGGCGUAAAGAGCGUGUAGGCGGCCAUGUAGGUCCGUUGUGAAAACUCGAGGCUCAACCUCGAGACGCCGAUGGAAACCAUGUGGCUAGAGUCCGGAAGAGGAGAGUGGAAUUCCUGGUGUAGCGGUGAAAUGCGCAGAUAUCAGGAAGAACACCCGUGGCUAAGGCGGCUCUCUGGGCCUGACCUGACGCUGAGGAGCGAAAGCGUGGGGAGCGAACAGG
rnacentral:rRNA from 1 species